rnacentral:misc_RNA from 1 species
GAUGAAGAACGUAGCGAAAUGCGAUAAGUAAUGUGAAUUGCAGAAUUCAGUGAAUCAUCGAAUCUUUGAACGCACAUUGCGCCCGCCAGCAUUCUGGCGGGCAUGCCUGUUCGAGCGUCAUUUCAACCCUCGCAGCCCAUCUGGGCAGCGGUGUUGGGGACCGGCACCACCGGCGAAGCCCUUAGGGGCCCAGCCGGCGCCGCCCCCGAAAUACAGUGGCGGUCUCGCUGCAGCCUCCCUUGCGUAGUAGCACACCUCGCACCGGAGCGCAGCGCGGCCACGCCGUAAAACCCCCGACUUUCUGAGUUUGGCCUCGAAUCAGGUAGGAAUACCCGCUGAACUUAAGCAUAUCAAUAAGCGGAGGA